rnacentral:piRNA from 1 species
UGGAAUUGCACAAAUGAUGAUGGGAUGAUU